UUUUAAAAAAAGAAUGUGUUACAAUUUUUAAAAGUUAUUAGUUUUGUUUAUCCCUUUGUUUUCGUUUGUAGGGGAAUUGGGACUGAAGUCUGGACCUUGUGACUUCCAUAACAGUGUUUCUUCUGCCUGCACCAGAGAGCCAAGGAGACCCCAGGACCCUGGAGGUCUGAGGGCUUUCUCAGAACUGUCCAACUUUUCAGCCACAUGAAAACCUAAAGGCAAAGAAGGUUUCCUUCUGCUCUUGUGUACUGAGGUUUCUUCAGCCAUGUCUGAACUCAGAAAUUGCCACUUCAUAUUUUACGGUAAGUGAAACAUUCUGAGACACAUGUUGCUGCCUUUGGUAAAAUGCAUUUUCCUUUUUUCAUGUAUUUUAAUUUAAUUUAAUUUUAUUUUAUUAUUUUUUAUUAUACUUUAAGUUCUAGGGUACAUGCGCACAACGUGCAGGUUUGUUACAUAUGUAUACAUGUGCCAUGUUGGUGUGCUGCACCCAUUAACUCAU
rnacentral:lncRNA from 10 species